rnacentral:lncRNA from 1 species
CACGUAAUGAAAGUAGAAAGAAUCCUCAAGUAUCUUACGUUUUCUGUAUGAAUUUUGAUUUAUUAAAUGUUGGGCAUGGCCGAUGAUGCAUGUUUAUCAAUAUAUCGUUUAUACAUCAGUAUACAAUAAUGCCUUCUGCUUAGCUUAUAGCUGGAGUGCGGUCUAAAUAUGUGAACAAACGUUCUUGCAGCAUCAUCCCGGAGGAUGGGAGAAGGAAGGCUUAUGCAGAAGCCCUUGCAAAAGCCAGGAAAGAGGAAGAGGCUACAAGAGCAACAGAGAAAUCUCGUCUAGCUGCGGAAGCAGCAAAGAUGCGCAAAGAAGAGUUAAAGAAACUUGCAAAGCAGGAAGCUGAGGCUGCCAGUUUUGCAGAACAAGCCCAAGAGAAGGCGGCUGCUGCAGGAGUUUCAGUUGAGACCUCUUAAGUAAAGCCCAAGGCAUAAGCUCAGGACUAUCUUGGGAAAACCUGAGCUCACAGCUGAAAUCAGCUGUUCAGCAACCUGCGGAAGCAGCAAAGAUGCGCAAAGAAGAGUUAAAGAAACUUGCAAAGGCAGGAAGCUGAGGCUGCCAGUUUUGCAGAACAAGCCCAAGAGAAGGCGGCUGCUUCAGGAGUUUCAGUUGAGAGCCUCUUAAGUAAAGCCCAAGGCAUAAGCUCAGGACUAUCUUGGAAAACCUGAGCUCACAGCUGAAAUCAGCUGUUCAGCAACCCGGCGAGGACUCUAAAGUGCAGGUCGCUACUGUGAGGGGUCAGGUUAGGGCUCGAAAUCUGCCUGUCCAAAAAGCUGUAGUCAAAAAAUCUGCUUCCUUAAAAUCAAGGGAGGUUCCAAAGCCAAAGGCCAAACAACCAGAGUCCAAGACAGAGGUCAGAAAGGUUUUUGGCGGGUUGUUUCAGCAAGAAACCAUUUAUGUUGAUGAUGACUAAGAAGAUUGGAGCUACAUAUAUUCUAUUCUCUGU